UACGUAGGGGGCGAGCGUUGUCCGGAUUUAUUGGGCGUAAAGAGCGUGUAGGCGGCCAGACAGGUCAGUUGUGAAAACUGGAGGCUCAACCUCCAGACGUCGAUGGAAACCGUCUGGCUAGAGUCCGGAAGAGGAGAGUGGAAUUCCUGGUGUAGCGGUGAAAUGCGCAGAUAUCAGGAAGAACACCCGUGGCGAAAGCGGCUCUCUGGGACGGUACUGACGCUGAGACGCGAAAGCGUGGGGAGCGAACAGG
rnacentral:rRNA from 1 species